UUGAGGUUUUAUGUACGGUGAAAAAUCACACGGAUACUUAAGAUAGUCUAUUCUUAUGAAGUUCUUACAUUAGUAGAUCUUGUCAUAUACAGCAUAGUUAAAAUAUUCUGUGGCUGAAAGAGGAAGAAAGAUCAUACAGAUCAGUUUCAUGAGGACAUAAAUGUGCAUAUGUGUGAACACAACACUAAAAUGUUGGUAUAUAAAAACAAAUGUCAACAGUAACUCAAACACAGACAGCACAUUUUAAAGCACACUUUAAAGGAUUAGUUCACAUCAGAAUUCAAAUUUAAAUUAAAAAAGAAGUCCACUAUAUGGAGAAAAAUCCUGGAAUAUUUUCCUCAAAAAACUUAAUUUCUUUUUGACUGAAGAAAGAAAGACAUAAACAUCUUGGAUGACAUGGGGGUGAGUAAACUAUCAGGAAAUUUUAAUUCUUAAGUGAACUAAUCCUUUAAAGCAAAUGGACAAAACAUGCUGUUCUGAGCUCCAACAUUAGGGGGCAACAUAACCUCACAAGCUAUGCUUUAUUCACAUUAGACAACCACCUGAUGUCUAAAUAAAACACUGCUCACCAUUUGAUUUAAAGCACAGAGCAUGUCCAUGUUUCACUAACCACACCCACAUUAUUAAUACACAACAGAACUUCACUCUUCGCAUUCAUUCAUGCAUCAGCAACACUUCAUUUCACACUUUCAACACAUUCAUUUUAUAAAACCACAUUGAGCAUAACUUAUAAAUCAACAAUCAAUAAAACAACAAGGAAAAUCUAACAAAUCAAUUUAAUAGCAAACAAACACUCUGAUCUUUAAAGUGGACUUCAGUUAAGAUGGAGGAGAAGCAAAUGCUGCUCAUGAUGCUCAUCACAGUUUCAGGUGGAUUUGCAGAUAAAAUUGGACCAAAAGAUGGAAAUACUAAUGUAAUCAAAGAAGAAGGAGAGUCUGUGACACUGAGCUGCACAUAUGAAACUAACAGCAAUGAUAUUUGGCUUUACUGGUACAGACAGUAUCCAAACAGAGAACCAGAAUAUUUACUGUAUAAAGGUGCUCGAUCACGGAGCAGUCAGGAAAAUAUACCAGACGGUUUUCAGUCGACUACAUCCCAAUCAUCCACUGAACUCAUUAUUAACAGUGUGACUCUGUCAGAUUCAGCUCUCUAUUAUUGUGCUCUAAGAGUAGCAGCCCAGUGAUACAAAGUGCCUGAGAAGCUUUACAAAAACUCAUACAAAAUUAAUGCUUUGAAGUGUCUUUAAUCAAUCUGUAUCAUGUUACUGUAAACCACAAACAGUGAAUGUGGUAACAGCUGUGAAUUUGGGAGGUUACAUAAGGGCAUGUGAAUAAAAUUCAGCAUGUGUCUCUACAUGGUUCUCAUAUAACUGCUUUUAUGUUUUCUCUUU